rnacentral:rRNA from 1 species
UAGGGAAUCUUCCACAAUGGGCGAAAGCCUGAUGGAGCAACGCCGCGUGUGUGAUGAAGGGUUCCGGCUCGUAAAACACUGUUGUAAGAGAAGAAUGACAUUGAGAGUAACUGUUCAAUGUGUGACGGUAUCUUACCAGAAAGGAACGGCUAAAUACGUGCCA